rnacentral:lncRNA from 1 species
CCAUCAAACGGAACAAUUAUUCGUGAAAGACAUUACCGUUACCAUGCGUUGCAUAUUCGUCCGAGAAGAGUUCACCACGGCUCCGUGACGGAUAGCCUAAGGAGCGCGCUCUCCCGGCUGCGUCAGCGGACUGCCAAUUCCGGUUCCGGGGACUCCUCCCCAGAUGCCUCUCCAACGCACACACUUACGGUGAGAAAACACUUCAACUUUUACGUAUUUCUAUUCUCAAAUUACAAUGAAAUUAUGGUGAGUCUGAUCAUAAUUUUUUUUAUUUACUAAUUUAAAAUAUUAUACUCGUGGACUAGGCCAGAUUUGGACUGUUUGGUAUCGAUUUAGGUCAUAUUUUUUUUCUUUGUAACAAUUUUAUACAAGAGUGUACCUUUGAAAUUUUGGUCCAAAUUUUUCUGAUUUUCACAUGAAAUCAGAAGAAAAGUCAGUGAAAUUCAAAUAAGAUAAGCCUAAUAUUCUUUCGAUAACUGCAAUUUGCAAGGGGUAAUCUGGCAAACAUGAUAUAUAUUUACGUGCAUUUGUGAAGGCAACGACUUCUGACCCCAUUCCCUAUUUUUACUGAGUUUUUUUUUAAAUUUUUUUUAAAUUUUUUUUUUUUAAGCAGUGUACAACAAAAAGCCCGCAAGGCUGCGACCAAGUUUAAGAUGCGCGGUUUGGGAAUUCCAUCUUUGAGGCGCCGCUUCCCAGUUAAAAAGCGGGACGAUAAACCCUUUUGAUCGAAGAGCGCAGCGUGGGCUAAGCCGUGGCGCACAGUGGAUUCAUUCAAUCGGAGAAGUCGGACAAAACAUGGAAACUUUGAAAGCUUAUACUUUUGAAGCAAAAAAGUUUAAGAGUCGUUGCAUUGGUGUUUUUCUAAAAUGGAGAUGUUGCAUUUGUGAGGACUUUGCGAUUUGACUGUUCAUUCUUACGUAAAAGUUCGCGAGAGACACGAUGGUGCCACUGGUUUUCUCUGAAAUCAACUCCCAAGCUCAAAAAAGCUCUCAAGUUGAGGCCAAAAUGGCCGCGGAUACCCCACGCUAUCCUGAGAGUCCACCUCUACAUCAAGACGGACUCUCCACGCAAAAAUAGGGAGCAAAUACAUUGACAGGGAUGCCGUGUUUUCAGUUUUAGAGUCCUCAAAUAAAGUCGCAGCCCUGUCAAUAUAUUUGCUCCCUAUCUUCGCAUGGAGAGUUUGUCU